CAGUCAGAUGCACGGCGAGUCGGCCACCCGUCUACUCCUCCGGCCAGAUCCACGACAUGGCGGCGAAUUCCAGGACGCGGUGGCACCGGCUGCAGUAGCAGGUUCAGGCAAAAAUACAUAGAUCAGAAUGCCUGCUAUCAAAGAUUCAAGAUUCCUAGGCACUUGCCGGUCCAUGUGAUGAUCAAGAAAAUAUUACAAAUGAGGAAAGGACAUUGAGAAAUUUCAGCAACCUAAGGUAUUCACUCAUGCUCAUGACACCAAGAAAACCUAGCUGCCAGCACCUGUUGAACUAUUAGUUUGGUGAUUAAGGUCACUUGUGAGAUAGGGAUCUUUGAUUUCCAUUUGUUUAUUUUGUCUAUGAUAACUUUGUGACUAAGGUCACUUGGUGAACUAUCAGUUUGGCUUUGUGAUGAAUGUAAUAAAUAUACUGAUGAAUGACUUGUGAACCUGUUGAUUUGGUCAUGAAUGAAAUAUAUUG